GAUCGAAUAUAGCCCAAGCAAACCUUGGUCCAAGCCCAUCGUUCGAGUUGGAGAGGCUCGCAAGCGGAGAACAGAGGGGACACGCAGGCGAGGGCGGUGCCGCCGGCGCGAGAUCGAGAGGGACCCCAUCCCCCGCCGACGCGACGCUGUUCGAGGGCUGAGCCGAAUUCGUCGCCGCCGGAGCCGGAGCGCAGGGAGCCCGAGAUGGUGAACGCGUUCUUCGUGUUCUGCGGGUGCGUGGACCAGGCCAGCGUGGCGGUGGUGGAGAAGUGGGGGCGCUUCGUCCGCCUCGCCGAGCCGGGCCUCCAUUUCUUCAACCCCUUCGCCGGGGAGUGCGUCGCGGGGUCCCUCACCACCCCACCCGCGUCCAGUCCCUCGACGUCCGCGUCGAGACCAAGACCAAGGAUAAUGUCUUCGUCCAGCUGAUUUGCACAAUUCAAUAUCGUGUUGUCAAGGAACAUGCUGACGAUGCAUUCUAUGAGUUGCAGAAUCCCCAACAGCAAAUUCAGGCCUACGUCUUUGAUGUUGUUCGGGCCAUAGUUCCAAGAAUGAAUCUGGAUGAUCUUUUCGAGCAAAAGAAUGAUGUGGCAAAAUCUGUACUUGAGGAGCUUGAAAAGGUAAUGGCAGAUUAUGGUUACAGCAUUGAGCACAUUCUCAUGGUUGAUAUCAUUCCUGACGCUGCUGUGCGGAAAGCAAUGAAUGAGAUAAAUGCAGCCCAAAGGCUUCAGUUGGCAAGCGUCUACAAAGGAGAAGCAGAGAAGAUUCUUUUGGUGAAGAAGGCAGAAGCAGAAGCAGAGGCGAAAUAUCUCUCCGGUGUCGGCAUUGCCAAGCAGCGGCAAGCUAUAACCGACGGCCUCAGGGAGAACAUCCUGAACUUCUCGCACUCGGUGUCCGGCACCAGCGCCAAGGAAGUCAUGGACCUGAUCAUGGUCACGCAGUACUUUGACACCAUCAAGGAGCUCGGGGAUGGCUCGAAGAACACCACGGUGUUCAUCCCCCAUGGCCCGGGCCACGUGAAAGAUAUCAGCGAGCAGAUCCGGGACGGCAUGAUGCAGGCCUCGAGCAGCAACGUGUAGACCACUCGUUCACGUUGGUACACACGGCUGGAGACGCCUCAGCUCGGGCUGAGCCUCGAGCUAAUCUGUUUAAGUGUUUGUAGUAUUAGAUCGUUAGUGGUAAAUAACGAGCGCUAGGACUUUCGGCUUGUCAUCUGGAGUUGUAUGCGGUCCUGAAACUAGUGUGGAUGAAUUUUCGUAUGAGAUAAUGUCCAGGCUGUACGCGUUUUUGCAUGUUCUUUUCUAACUACUAUACAAGUUACAUAGUGAUCUGCCCUUUUAGACAGUGUAUAGCGCUUCAGUUGAUACGUGGGUGUGGAUUUUUGCCUGUGCAGAAUACUACUAGUGAAUUGAAGCAUUUAUGGUUGGAAAAUC